rnacentral:rRNA from 1 species
CACGUAGGGUGCGAGCGUUGUCCGGAAUUAUUGGGCGUAAAGAGCUCGUAGGCGGUGUGUCGCGUCGGCCGUGAAAACCUGGGGCUUAACUCUGGGCGUGCGGUCGAUACGGGCAUCACUGGAGUUCGGCAGGGGAGACUGGAAUUCCUGGUGUAGCGGUGAAAUGCGCAGAUAUCAGGAGGAACACCGGUGGCGAAGGCGGGUCUCUGGGCAGUAACUGACGCUGAGGAGCGAAAGCGUGGGGAGCGAACAGG